UACGGGGGGGGCAAGCGUUGUUCGGAAUUACUGGGCGUAAAGGGUUUGUAGGUGGCUUGUUAAGUCAGACGUGAAAUCCCUCAGCUUAACUGGGGAACUGCGUCUGAUACUGGCGAGCUUGAGUGCAGGAGAGGAACGCGGAAUUCCAGGUGUAGCGGUGAAAUGCGUAGAUAUCUGGAGGAACACCGGUGGCGAAGGCGGCGUUCUGGACUGCAACUGACACUGAAAAACGAAAGCCAGGGGAGCAAACGGG
rnacentral:rRNA from 1 species